rnacentral:RNase_P_RNA from 1 species
CGAGGAAGACAGACAGUCGCGUGGGCAGGCCGAAAGGCCGUCCAUGAGGAAAGUCCGGGCUCCACAGGGCAAGGAUAACGGGUAACGCCCGCCGAAGGCGACUUCAGGAAAAGUGCAACAGAGAGAUACCGCCAGAGCGGCUGAUCCGUGCCGGCAAGAAUGGAAUAAAGGUGAACAGAGAUGGAAUGCGGCGUCCGGGUCCUGCGGGGUCCGGGCAGGCGGUGAGCAGGCCGAAGGCUCCCUCCUUCCGCCGAACAGCGCAACGGCCUCUGCGCGGGACAGCGCAGGGGUGUUGUGUGAAGAGGGACGAAGGGUCCCUCUUCACCAUUUCGAUCAAACCCGCCGAAGGCGGGCGGUCCCGCAGGGACCGAUGGCACCUUUCCACCCUUACCAGUGCGGCUCAGCCGCCCUGGUAAGGGUGGAAAGGUGCGGUAAGAGCGCACCCGACGGCUCGAGAGUGUCCGUCGCUGUAAACUCUAUCCGGAGCAACACCGUGGAAAGGACAGAUGGCCGGCCCGGCCGUCCUUAGGAGGUGGCUUGAACGCACCGGCAACGGCGCGUCUAGAUAGAUGACUGUCAGAUACAGAACCCGGCUUACAGUCUCCCUCGCAAG